CUGGAUGAAAAGUAUCCCGACAUGAAAAGAUUAAAAUUUAAUAAGAAAGUUCAGACCAAUAUUCCAGUGAAAUGAUAUUAGAUGAAUCGAAAACCUUAAUCAAUUUCUAAUCAUUUCAGGAAUUAUAGAAGUAAUAUUUAUCAUAGCAAGAGAUUUAGGAAUAUGAAAUGAAAUAAUAUACGAAACUGCAAAUGAAUUUUCACCCGUCAUGCAGUAAUCCAUGUAGACAGAUCAUUUCUACAAUUUUAAAAAAGAAUGAAUACAAAACGUUAUUCACCAGGCAUGCGGUAGUCCGCGUAGACAGGUUAUUCUCACAGAUUAAUAAGGAAUAUAAUAACAACCCUUAUGAGUAUGAAGUAAUAUCGCGUACGAAUAUGAAAGCAAAUUUACAUACGAGUAUGAAAUAAGUGAUAUCAUUUACGAAUAUUGAAGGAAAAUAAUAUCAUUUACCUUAGUAGGAGACUAAUCUGAUUGGUAUAACGAAGAUUAUCUUGAAAAAAUCUUGCACUUUUAGCUCUAUACUUAAAGUAUUCUUAUACUAG
rnacentral:lncRNA from 1 species